GUGAGGAAUAUUGGUCAAUGGACGAGAGUCUGAACCAGCCAAGUAGCGUGAAGGAUGACUGCCCUAUGGGUUGUAAACUUCUUUUAUAUGGGAAUAAAAUGUUCCACGUGUGGGAUUUUGUAUGUACCAUAUGAAUAAGGAUCGGCUAACUCCGUGCCAGCAGCCGCGGUAAUACGGAGGAUCCGAGCGUUAUCCGGAUUUAUUGGGUUUAAAGGGAGCGUAGGUGGAUUGUUAAGUCAGUUGUGAAAGUUUGCGGCUCAACCGUAAAAUUGCAGUUGAAACUGGCAGUCUUGAGUACAGUAGAGGUGGGCGGAAUUCGUGGUGUAGCGGUGAAAUGCUUAGAUAUCACGAAGAACUCCGAUUGCGAAGGCAGCUCACUGGACUGCAACUGACACUGAGGCUCGAAAGUGUGGGUAUCAAACAGGAUUAGAAACCCUAGUAGUCC
rnacentral:rRNA from 1 species